rfam:Marine metagenome 1096626832079, whole genome shotgun sequence.
ACGUGGGACACCUCUCCCCAACGAGAGGCAAUUAUCUGGAAGGGUAACAGAC